AUGGCCUAAACGUAUAAGUAAGGAAAAUAAUGAUUCAGCAUGAUGCCUGAAUACUCACUGCUAAUGUGAGAUGAAUAUUUGAUCAAGUAAAGGUUGCCCCUAAGGUAACCCUCCUAUUUUGAGGGAUGCCUGGAGGUCAUGAUCUGCCCA
rnacentral:snRNA from 1 species